UACGGAAGGCAGCAGUGGGGAAUAUUGCACAAUGGGCGAAAGCCUGAUGCAGCUAUGCCGCGUGUAUGAAGAAGGCCUUAGGGUUGUAAAGUACUUUCAUCGGGGAGGAAAAACAAAACUAAUAAUUUUAUUUCUUGACGUUACCCGAAAAAGAAGCACCGGCUAACUCCGUGCCAGCAGCCGCGGUAAUACGGAGGGUGCUAGCGUUAAUCAGAAUUACUGGGCGUAAAGAGCACGUAGGUGGUUUUUUUAAAGUCAGAUGUGAAAUCCCUGGGCUUAACCUAGGAACUGCAUUUUGAAACUGAAAUACUAGAGUAUCGUAGAGGGAGGUAGAAUUCCAGGUGUAGCGGUGAAAUGCGUAGAGAUCUGGAGGAAUACCGGUGGCGAAGGCGGCCCCUGGACAAAGCUGACGCUCAGGUGCGAAAGCGUGGGGAGCAAACGAGGGAUUAGAUACC
rnacentral:rRNA from 1 species